rnacentral:rRNA from 1 species
GACGAACGCUGGCGGCGUGCUUAACACAUGCAAGUCGAACGGAAAGGCGCUGCGUUUGUGGCGUGGUCGAGUGGGGAACGGGGGAGUAACACGUGAGGAACCCGCCCUUAUAUGUGGGAGAAAUUCAUGGAACUGGGGCGAAAACCGGAGAGAAGCUCCUGAUGCGCAGUGUGCGUUGGAGAGUGUCGGCGGUUGUGGAUGUUAUAGCGGCUUAUCAGCUUGUUGGGGGGGUAGUGGCGUACCAGGGCUGUGAAGGGGAGCCGGCCUAGGAGGGUGAACGGCCACCGGGGGCCUGAGGUACGGACCAGACUGGUACGUGAGGCAGCAGUGGGGAGUAUGGCAGAAUGGGCGGAAGCGUGAUGCAGCAACGUCGCGUGCGGGAUGACGGCUUUUGGGUUGUAAACAGCUUUCGACUGUGAUGAAGCGUGCGUGACGGUAAUGGGUAAGGAAGCACCGGCUAACUACGUG